AUUGAACGCUGGCGGCAUGCCUUACACAUGCAAGUCGAACGGUAGCGGGCCUUCGGGUGCCGACGAGUGGCGAACGGGUGAGUAAUGUAUCGGAACGUACCUUUCAGUGGGGGAUAACGUAGCGAAAGUUACGCUAAUACCGCAUAUUCUGUGCGCAGGAAAGCAGGGGAUCGCAAGACCUUGCGCUGAUUGAGCGGCCGAUAUCAGAUUAGCUAGUUGGUGGGGUAAAGGCUCACCAAGGCGACGAUCUGUAGCGGGUCUGAGAGGAUGGUCCGCCACACUGGAACUGGGACACGGUCAAGACUCCUACGGGAGGCAGCAGUGGGGAAUUUUGGACAAUGGGGGCAACCCUGAUCCAGCCAUGCCGCGUGAGUGAAGAAGGCCUUCGGGUUGUAAAGCUCUUUCGGCCGGGAAGAAAUCGCAUGGGCUAAUACCCUGUGCGGAUGACGGUACCGGCAUAAGAAGCACCGGCUAACUACGUGCCAGCAGCCGCGGUAAUAC
rnacentral:rRNA from 1 species